rnacentral:tRNA from 1 species
CUAUGGGCUGGCUGGUGGGAUGGGCGGCCGCCGGCUGCGAUCCGGCGCGCAUGGGUAUCGGUCCCGUGCCUGCGGU